CUACUACUAACCCCGGUAUACCAUCACAACCGGAAGGAUUAGAAUCUGCAAAUCUUGUAGACAUGUUCGAUGCAGGUAAUUGGAGUAACCCCGUCACUGAAUUUUCUACUGACCGUCUGCCGGUCAAGAGAGGCGAUCCAGGACGCCCCGUCAUCCCGAUCUCCAUCGGCAUGGUGGACGUUCCAGAAGCACUCUGUGACUUUGGCUCUAGCGUCAACAUUAUACCCAGGGUACUCUAUGAGAAAUUCUUUACAUAUCCUUUAUUAGAAACAACCAUGUGUUUGCAGUUUGCAGAUCAGACGAUAACUUUUCCAAAAGGAAUAGUGAGGAACCUUUGUGUCCGAGUUGGUACUUUAUAUACCCCAGCAGACUUCAUAGUGGUUGAGACCGGAAAUGAUGAGAGAGCACCUAUCAUCCUAGGAAGGCCAUUUUUGAACACCACGGGAGCUAUCAUCUACGCUAGUGCUGCCAAGAUCAGUUUCCACGUCAAAGGGAAGAAGGAGACAUUUUUCUUCAAGAACAAGACUACACAAAUUCCAGAUCAAUCCAGACAUAAAUCAGGGAAGAGGACCAACAGGAGGAACAGGAACAAGCAAGUGUGGACCGAGUCAGCUAAGAUGGUCACUGUAUUCCAUGGAGGCCAAGAUCACCAACUUAAGUCACCGUUUUUGACCAAGAAGGACGACCCAGGAAUGCCAAGAAUCUACUGCUCCAUAAAUGGAUAUAACUUCUACAAGACGAUUUGCGACACCGGAUCGGGCGUCAACAUAAUGGCCGCAGUCACUUAUCGGCUCUUGUUCGGGACCAUGCCACUAAGACUAACAUACAUUCAGCUCCAGAUGGCAGAUCAGACAUUUCGAGAAGUUCAAGGAAUAGUAUCUGAUGUCCCAGUCAAAAUAGACGAUCACUUUGUCUACACAGACUUUCAAGUUAUUGACAUGGGAGAAGACGAGUACGAUCCACCCAUCAUCCUUGGAAGACCGUUCCUCAACACCGUUAAAGCAAUUAUCUACAUUGGAACUGGAGAAGUCCAUAUGCACUUCCCCUCAGAGAAGGUACGCCGUUAUUUUACAGACCCUAACUAUAUCAUUGAAGAAUCUAAGCAGGUCAGAAAGAGACGCAACCGCAACCAGAGGAGGCAGAUCAUCAAGGACGGAUGGGCAGACUGUGAAGGAGAAGUUGUAAGGGAAGUUGUAAGGUCAGAAGACGUAGAGUUUAAACAGAAUUAUCCAGAGGAGAUUGAAGCACCGAGUCAGGUAUGGAAAAUGAAGAUAACUAUACAUGAAGAGGAGGCGCUACCGGAAGUACCGGCUUCGCCACCCAACGAACCUCAGAACAAUUAAGAAAAUGGAGAGUCCCGUUCGGAGGACUUAAAAACACCGAACGCCUUGCCAAGAGGUAAACUUGGUAGUUAUCUUUUCCCUUUCAAAUUAUUCCAACUAGUUUACUUAGUUAAUCAUGUUCGUGCUAUUCUAAAAAGAAAAUAAAAAAAAAAUAUAUGAAAAACAGUAAGCCCCAUGUGAGUAUACGAGUGGCAUAAAACCCAUAAGUACAUUCACUGUGGUGGCAUAAAAACAAAAAUAAAUAUUUUUUCUGCUUUAUAAAAACAAAAAUAUAAAAAGUAACAAUUAUUAAGGAGUCUCAACAUGAUAAGGGCUUGAUAUUUAUGCUAACACUUAAUCAGUUCCACAAGCUAUGUUGUCUAUUUGAGCUCCACAGAAUUUAAGAAUCAAGAAGACUCGCAGACGGAGGACAUUCUAAUCGCUGUCAGAAUGCUGCUGACUUUCAAAUACACCUCUGCCACCUGCUAGCUACAUCAAGAGAAAUUACGUCAAAAUUCAGCUUGGGGGAGAGCACCCCCAUUUAUCCCGAUAAGUAUAUCUAUCUAUCUUUAUACUUAUAUUAUUUUAGAAUAUUAAAAUACACAUAAACUAUGGGAAAACCAAAUAAAGAUUUUAUGCUUAUAUAUGUCUUUUGCUUAGUGUGUUUAACAAAUAAAUAAAGUGGCUAUGCUAAUCUGUAUCUAAACAAAAACUUAAGCAUGGAUAUGAUGAAUAGUUGCUCUGCCUAAUUUGCACAUUCUAAGUUCUCUCUCAAGUUUAGAUAUAACUGUUAUAAUUUAAAGCUUGCCCUAGACCUAAACUUGUGGGAUGAAAACUUGAUCUGAUGUCUAAGUUGUUAACGGAUACGAUAUAGGAAGGUUGAGCUGCUGUUUAUCUGUUCCUAGAGAUGCUAGAAUUCUGGAGAAUUUUAUCUUUGAAAAUCUUUAAAAUGUUGCAUGAUGAGUUCCUGUAUGAUGAGAGCUUAAAUUCCUACCACAGCCAUAUAUACAUGCUUGCUAGACUUUGAGCCACACAUUUAUUAUUUACUGCUUAUGAGCAUUGAGUGUGGUCAAGCUGUGUAGACCCUUAGGAGCUUGUCAUGUGGUUAAAUCAAGAUUUCACUUGCACGUUCACUCAUAUAUGCUACUUCUACUCCAGAAGUACCAUCCACAUAUAUCCAUCCAUUUCCAUCUCCAGAAUCACCCAAAAAUAUUCUGCUCCUAAUCCGGGAGAGAAUAACCAAAAAUAUUUCUGUUUCCCCUUGUGAAAUAAAUGCUCAAGUUAUCUUGUUACUACCACUUGCUAUAUUAUCUCAAGAGAUGAGUGCUCUAAAAAAAAGAGAAGAAAAUAAAAAAAAUAUACGAGGAAAUAAAAAGGAGCAAGUGCUCGGAACCUCGAAAGAAAAGGAAGAGUGAGACGAGAGGUAAAAAUGGACAAGUGUCCGACAGUAGAAUUAGGGGUGCGAGAACCCACCUGAGAGACAAGAAAAAUAAGAGCAUCUCAUUCUCCUCAUAAAGUUUCAAAAGCAAGGAAGGUAUGUAUCCCCUCAAAAGAGCAAAGUAGAAUUAGACUUCCACCACCAUUGUUUUCACCAUUGUUAUCACCAUCAUCACCAUACACCAUUCAUUCGCCACACAUGCACAUCUUGAUUUGACUUAUUGAUUUGUUUCUUUGGAUCCAUGGUUUGACUAUACAAUAAAUGUCUUGUAAGUAUGUAUAUUUUAUCUCCCAUCUAUGAGCUCCAGAUAUUAAAGCCUUAUUAGGGUAGGGUGAGAGAGAAGGCAAUGUCACUAUGCCUUAUACCACAAAUACUACAUAUCUUGAGAGAAGGCAUAUACCAUCAAUGCCUUGGUAAGGAUCCAAAAAUACCACAAAAGAGAGACCUGAGAGAAUCAUACAAGGAAUCUCUGAGUUUUAUUUGAAAAUCUGUAAAAACCCCAGAGCUAUAGCUGAUCAAGAAUAAGAGACAUGGCACUUGGCUAGACUGUUCUGUCUUUUAACCACUCAAGACGGAAGUGACAGUUACAAGUCCCAUGGUGGAGGUAAAGUAAGUAAGUUUUAAGUCUUGAUAGUUUACUCUAACACAGAGAUGAGAUCUUAUUUAAAAGCAUGUGUACCGUCUAUUUUUUAAAAAUAUUGCAACAACUUAUGAUCCAUAGCUGAGUCUAUCCUUGCUCAGGGACGAGCAAGAGGUAAGCUUGGGGGAGUUUGUUGACGGUCCUUAAGUAUCAAAUUUAAUUAUCAAAUAAACAAAGAAAAGGAUCCAAAUGAAAUCAAGAUCCACACUUAGGGUUUUAUCUGACAGAAUUCCACGAGUUUUGGUGUUUGUCUAUUUCUGCAGGGGGUUAUCAGGAAAUACGGAAGAAAGGCGUACAUGUCGGGAUUACAUAGAGAUAUUAACGUGCUGCGCAAUUAACUUACAUCUAGAAGACUCUAGAAGCCACGAGACUGAAGCGGAGGCGAAACGGGGCCAGAGGCAGGGCGCCCGCCCUGUUCCCCUGGGCGCCCGCCCUCUCCAGGAGUCCAAUCAGGACUCUGCUUCGCGGGAGAUCUCCACCGACCUAAAGGAUGAAUCUAAACCAUACAAUCUAUGUCGGUUUGAUCCAAGGGCCCAUAUUCACUUGAAGGGACUAUAAAACCAGACCCCUUGGCCCCUGGAGGAGAGAGCCUCUCAACCCUAAUUCAUUGUUCCAUCAAGGGAGAAGAAGCCUCUGAUCAAGAUUAGAGCCACCACAUCAAUUAGAUAUCUAGAUUAGCAUAGCUACAUAGGAUUAGAACUAGAAGGAGUCAAUCUUCGAUUGGUUUCCGGAUCUGUCAAGAGGAUUCUUGGUAAUUCUCUAAUUGUGCUUCUAAUUGCUUUCUAAUUAUCUUUGAUCUUCAAUAUUAUGAAUAUGACUUUGUUCUACUUCAAUAUAUUGCUUAUGACUUUGCUCUACUUGCUUAUAUUCAAGAUUAUAUUGUUCUUAGUUUAUCAUAGUUAUGUACUUGGCUUAGUUAGAUUGGAUCUAUAUACAUGCUUAGGAUCGUAUAGCGUUUAUCCAUCGGAUCCAUGGGUAAAUGAUAGAUAUUGUGUAGGCGUGGUGCUUAUACCGUAUUCUUAUAUAGUCCCCCUCUCGUGUAUUGGGCUGGCAGAGCAACAUUAUUACAGGGGAGUGAUUGCUAUGUUUCUCAUAUUCCUUGCUAAUAUCACUAUGCAUGGGCGUAGUCUUGUCUCGCAAUGAUUGCUAAGUAUGCUUGCACUAACUAUGAUAUGCUAGACUAUAUAGUUGAGAAUAACUUAGGGAAUAUUCUUGUAGUUCGUUCUAAUACCGUGCUAAUGACUUUCUAGAGUAUCUAAUUGAGGUGCUUAUCAUAUUUAUUAUGUGGCUAGAUCAGAUUAGUUAUCCUUGUCACUAUUAUUACUUCAUAUAUCUUUUAUGUGACACUCAUCCCUAUAUGAAGAAUUAGAUAUAAUGUUCUCAAUUAUACAUGCUACGAUAGAUACUCAAUCUCAUAUUCUAUUCUGUAAUCAUUAGUGAUGAUUGCUAAUCCCUUCCCAGUGGUAAAAAUAUAAAUAACGAUACCUGGAAUACUUCCCGGUUAAAAUGCUGCAUCGGUAUUAAUCUGUGCGCUUGUAGAUCCAAUUUAUUAUUUAUUUAGAAGAGCAAUUGCAUAUUUCAAUACCGCUUCUCUUAUAUCAUGCUGGGGAUGACAACUUGGCUUAAGUGGUGUGAGGGAUAGGUUUGGCAUUUUUGGCACCGUUGCUAGAUUUAGAACUUAGUCUACUUUUAGUAAUGAUGUUAAGAAUACCCAACAAUCACCACUCCUAAACUAGGCAACAUGCUUCAUUUAAGAGAUGUAUGAAAUGACUCAAAACCUAAAUAUAUACUAUAACAAACAAAGGUAGCAUGAGAGCAUAAUAGAUGUUUUACUCAAAUAGUGAUGAUAGAGCAUGAUUAUUGUUUAGCAAAUUGAGCAUAUCAUAUAGGUAGGGACAACCAAGAUGAUGUAGCAACAUGAAAAAGAUGUAUCUAUGGAAGCAUAUCCCCCAAGCUUGACUUUUGCAACAAUCAAGAUUGGAUGAAAGUAAUUCAAUGUUGCAUAAUGAUUCGUUAGACAUACCUUGCAUUUGUUACUCCUUCGAUCUUUUCCUCCAAACCUGGAAGGUUAGUGACAAGAAUACCCGAAGGAAUAUUUUCAUAAUUAUAAUGCUAUGCUCAAUUAACAAGGGUAGCAUAGUAGAAAGAUGAACACUCAUGUCAUGGCCUAAAUAGUCCUUGUUUUAGGACACAAAGCUUGUCCUUGGGAAACCUUCAAGAUUUGGUUUGGCGAAGUGGUUUCCCUUCCAAUACCACUCUAAGUGUAUUAUUCACCACACCGAGAUCUACAAUAUUUAUGGUAAAGAUAUGUGUCUACAACCACCCUUUCAAAAACUUUAGGAACAAGGAGCAUGAGGGGGUUGAAGAUCUCAUGUGGGGCAAUGUUAGAGAGAUUAAGUGAAUCAGGAGAUUUUUCAUAUGAGCAAGGGACAGAUGGGGUGUUGAUGAAGUCUCUUCCAAGCUCAUUGAAGUCUCCAUCAUUUUCUACUUGCAAGAGUGACUCGACAUGUAUGUCCAAAAAUUCCCUUGGGUCAUCUCUUGAAUUGAUCUUAUCUAAUGCCUUGUCCAUCCAUUCAAUGGCAAUACCAUAUAGGUUUUUAAUGCUCUCUAGCCAUGGAAGUUGCGCUCCUCAAUCUUCUGUAUGGCCUUGAUGAUUCCUAUGCAUGGGAUAUCUAGAUGGAUUUCUAGAAUCAUCAGGUGGUUUUGGAGAAAGAGCAUAGAAUAAGCCAUAGUGAUCAAGGAUGGGGUUAGAGAUGUGUUCAUAUUCAAUAUCUAAAGUUGCCAUAGAAGGGGAGAGGAUAAGAGUGGCUUCUAGAUGGCUUCCUCUCCUUCUAUGGCAUCAUUUGACAUGCCAUCCUUGAGUCUUUCUAAUUGUCCUUCAAAGGGAUUGGUUUUGAAAAGCUUUCUAAGAGAUCUCUUUUGAAGAUUCAAACUAUAAGCACUAAAAGAUCUCAUAUGAAGCUGGAAGUUUAAACUCCUCCCAAAAUCUUUUUGAUGGCAAAUUUGGAGUACUACUGGUUUGGCAUGGAUAGCUGAAUCAUCGAAUUGGAAUGUUUGCAAAGUGCCUACAAAAACAUCCUCUUCUAGUUUGGGGGAUGAUUCCUUCUCUAUCUCUAGGAUUUUAUAAUGCAAGGAGUGUGUCCACUCAUAAGGACAAACUGAAAGGUCCUAAUAUGGCUAGAGGGGUGAAUAGCCUAUUAAAAAAUUCUACAAACUCACUAGACCAAGAGGUUAGUAAAUAAAAAAGCAAAGCUUUUUGCUCUAGCUCUAAAGGAGUGUUUGCAAGCCACCUAUCUAAUAAUUCUAGUUCAUAUGAUCACUAGGCAUACAAGAGCUAUGUUGCUACAAAGCUACACUAGUGAACUAUGUUACACAAGGCAAGACUAGCAACUAAACUAGUUACACUACGAUGCAGUAAGUAAAAGGAGAGAAAGAGAUAUUUAUACCGCCGUGUAUGAGAUGAACCAAUCACCAAUAUAUGAAGAAUCAAGCACCGGGAGAAUGUCAAUCAAACACAAUUGAGACACCGAUGUUUCUCCCUAGGUUCACAUGCUUGUUGGCACGCUACAUCCCCGUUGUGUCGACAAAGACUUGGUGGUUUGGUGGCUAAGAGGUGUAGCAUGAACCUUGUCCUCACUAAGACACCGAAAGAACCUACCCACAAAUGAUGUAGCUUAAUGACAUGCGCAAUCCACUAAAGUUGCCUUUGGCUCUCUACCGACGUAGGCACCAAACCCCUCACAAUCACCGAGAGAUGGCCACGAACAAUGACCAACUUGUGCCAAUGCUCCUCCGCUACUCCAUGCCAUCUAGCUGGCGGCAAUCACCAAGAGUAACAAGAAAACCACAGCCCAAUCAAUCCCUAAGUGCCACUAGAUGUAAUCAAUCAAGCAAAUGCACUUGGAAACACACCCAAUCUCACAAAGAUGGUUAAUCUAUGAAGGAGAUGGGUGGGAGGUGUUUGCUUUGGCUCACAAGGAUGUCAAGUAUGCUAGAAUGCUAAGGGAGUGAGCCCCAAGCCAACCAACACGUAUUUAUAAGCCCCUCAAACAAAUAGAGUUGUUGGCUCUAUCAUUGGGCAAAAGACAGGACCACCGGACGCUCAAGCAGGUGCCACCAGACGCUCAACCCAUGCAUCCGGUGCUCCAGAUGCGGCCACGUGUUUGCUACUUGAACCUCACGUGUUGAACUCUAAUGGUCAUAUUUGAACCACCGAAUGCAGUCAAGUAGAUAUCGGACGCGUCCGGUGCACACCGGUCAUGUACGUAGAGAGGUUUGCAAAAACGCAGGAGCACUAGACUCACACCACCGAACGCUCCCUAAGCGUCUAGUGCUUUCAGUCAGAAACACCUACUGAAGACAAGUCACACCGGAUGCAUGAACAGGGUCUAGCCUGCGUCCAGUGCUGAGCGUCCGAUGCUCUACCCUAACAUCGCUAGAUACUGAUAGCACACCGGACACGCAGGCUCAUCGUCUGGUGCCUGCGAACUGAGCAUCCGGUGAGUGUUCUUUCAGAGAGAAACACUCCAGUGACUUCUCCAAACUUUCCACCGGCGCAAUAGAAAAUAUGCAUUUCAUUUUGGUAAUUGAUGACAACCCUUUUACAAAGACUUUCAAUAGAAAUUUGAAAGCAAUUGCUCCCCCUACAUAUGUGCUAAGAGUUUGGAUUUGAAAGCUUGCACAUAUUGCUUGAAUAGAAAAUAUAGGAGUCAAUUUCUACCAAGUGAUGCUAAGGUGUAAAGAAUGGACCUUUAAAGCAUGAUACCAAUCGGAGUUGCCAAUAUACAUCAUCCUUAGCACCAUUAGUAACUAGACAUUCACAAAACUAGAACACCCGGUGAGAUCAACAUUAUAAACAAGGUUCUAGUACCACUUGUGAAACAACCAAAAGUCUAGUUACACUACCUAUGCAUGCUAGUUUUUCAUUGUAUCAAUCAAACCUACAACUAGCAUACACCACACAAGCAAGGUAUUGGAGAGAAAACUUCUAAAGCUAAUGCAAAUGCAAGCAAGCAUAUAUAAUGCGCAUUCAAAUGCAACAUACAAGUUUAUGAGCUUGCUCCCCCAACUUGUGUGCGCAAAGUUUUUAAUUGAUCCCCUUCUUUUAUCACUUUUACUCCCCUAUCUUUGUACUUCUUUGUAAUUUCUCUCCCCCUUUAGUAAAUAUUUGGGAAAUCCUCUCCCCCUUUGUCAUUAAUGACCAUAAAAGGUGAGCUCAAAUUUUAGAUAGGUUAGUGAGAAACCAUGUGAAGUGAGAUUAUUUUACCAAAUUAGUCCAAUCUAGAUUACUUGCCUAAGAUAUUUAACUCGAUUUGAUCCAAGUACAAGCUUUUUCACACCUCCAAAUAAGGGUUAUCUUGUACCAUCUUGAGUUAAACACUUAUAGCUCAUAUUCUGGAUCAAACACUAGGGUUGCAAGCCGAAAAACAUGUCAUAUGCUACCGCUAGAUCAAGUCAAGCAUAGAAGCAAUAGUGGUACCAUACAAGAAUCAAAUUCAUUUGAUUUGCCUGAAUGAGCCUAAGACAUGUAAGGAAUAACUAGAUGCACUAAGCAAGUCCUUAGCAUAGGAUGAAUGACAUGCCAAACAAUUUUACCUUCCUUUACUCAAAGGAGAGGCAUGUCAUAUAAUGGAGUGCAUCAACUCAUAUUUGAGACAAGUAUGUUCAAUUCAUUCCUUAGCUUGCAAAACCUCUUCUCAUCAAGUGGCUUGGUGAAUAUAUCGACAAGUUGAUCAUCAGUCCCUAUACUCUCAAUGCAAAUGUCCCCUUUUUGUUGAUGAUCUCUUAUGAAAUGAUGGCGGACAUCUAUAUGCUUUGUUCUUGAGUGUUGAACCGGAUUGUUGGUGAGCUUCACGGCACUUUCAUUGUCACAUAGCAAUGACACUUGUUUGAAAAUUAUUCCAAAGUCCUUUAACAUUGCCUUCAUCCAUAGGAUUUGUGCACAACAACUACCGGCCACAAUGUAUUCUGCUAUGGCGGUUGAUAGUGCAACACUAUUUUGUUUCUUGGAUGACCAUGAAACAAGUGAUCUUCCCAAUAGUUGACAUGUGCCCAAUGUGCUUCUUCUUUCAACUUUGCAUCCCACAUAGUCCGAAUUGGAAUACCAUAAACCAACAUUUUGUGUAUGCUUCAAGUACCUCAAUAUUCCCUUUGUUUCCUUCCAAUGACUUUCUAUUGGUGAGGCUUGAAAUCUUGCACACAUGCAUACACUAAACAUGACAUCAAGUCUGGUCACAUAGAGUAGGCUUCCAAUCAUAGACCGAUACAACUUUUGGUCCACCAUAUUUCCACUUGUGUCACUAUCUAAGCUUCCAUUUGCUCCCAUUAGAGUGCUAAUUGAUUUUGUAUCACCCAUACCAAACUUCUUGAGCAUGUCUUUUAUGUACUUUCCUUGACUCACAAAUGUGUCAUUCUUCAAUUGCUUGAUUUGAAGACCAAGGAAGUAACUAAGCUCUCAAAUCAUUGACAUCUCAAAUUCAUGAGCCAUCAUGUUUCCAAACUCUUCACAAAAUUCUUGGUUCGUUGAUCCAAAUAUGAUAUCAUCAACAUAUAUUUGCAACAGAAACAUGUCCUUUGCCAAUCUUCUUGGUGAAGAGAUUGGUGUCAACCUUGCCCAUCUUGAAACCUUUAGAGAGUAAGAAAUCUCUCAGUCUCUCAUACCAUGCUCUAGGUGUUUGCUUCAAACCAUACAAUGCAUUUCUUACCUUGAAAAUAUGGUUGGGUUCCUUGUCAUCUUCAAAACCGAGAGGUUGCUCAACAUAGACUUCUUCAUUGAUAUAGCCAUUGAGAAAUGCACUCCUCACAUCCAUUUGAUAUAACUUGAUAUUAUGUGCACGAGCAUAGGCUAACAAGAUCCUAAUUUCCUCCAAUCUUGCAACCGGGGCAUAUGUUUUGUAACACCCUUGGUGUUAAGCAUGCACUUAGUCUCAUAAAACAUUCAUAAGCAUUCUCAUCAAGCAUGGCAUAAGCAUCACAUCCCAUGAGCACAAAAAUAAUUCAAGUGUUAUUUUAUGUGCUUUAUUUCAGGUGAAUUAAAUAUGUUAAAAAUAUUAUGAUUGCUUCUAAAAAUUGUGAAAUAUUCAAAUUAGGUUGAAAUAUGUGUUAGAAGAAUUAAGAGUAAUUUUGUGAAAUUUUUUUUGGAGCCAUAGGAUUUGAGAAAUGGAAUUUAUACAAAAAUCCCUAAAAUGAAUUUAUUUAAAAACCUAGAACUAGUUUUAAUCUGUGGUUCAAAUUCUAUUUGGAAUUUGGCUUUGCUUAUUAAAACAAAGUUGUAGGGAAUUUUAUGGGAGCAAUUCUUCUUUUUACCCCAGCCCCUGAAAAGUUUUAUAAAAGCUUCAAAAGUCUCAUUUAAACUUUUUGGAGACAAGGAAUUCAAAAAAAGGAAAAGGGGACAGGCGCUGCUGGGCCGACCCGCCUCCCUUUUGGCCCAGCAAAGCCACGCGGCCCAGCUCCCCCUCCCCCUCUCUCCCACGCGCGGCGCCCGCCUUCGUUCACCCGACGCCGGCCACGUGGCUGCCGUAUGUCGGCGUCGUGGACGCGCCGCGGCCGACCGGCUAUAACCUGGUCGGGACGCCGCCCCGCGCCUCCAGGCUCCACUCUGUCGACCCGCUCCUCUCUCCUUCUUCUUCCUCCACUCGCGAGCGCCGCAGCCGUAGCAGCUCCGCUGCAGCGCCAUCGCUGGAGAAGCUCCGCUGCUCACCGCCGGCCACGCCAGUGCCCCAACCUCAGCGCUAAGACCACCAUCGCACUCGUCUUCGCCGUGGUAAGCCUAUGCGAACGCUCUACCGAGGUGAGAGACUGCCGUGCGCCGUGAAUCGCUCUUCGGAGUUGCUCCGACCUCACCGGAGAGCUCCGCCGCGUCGGAUCCCGCUAGUCUACCUCUUUUCGCUCGCUUUUGGGUGCUUUAGGUCCGUAGUUCGAUGAGGAAGCUCGGAAGAGCACUCGCGCGUGUUCUACCGCCCCGGAGCAGCCUGGCCACGGCGAGCAGCGCCGCCGUGCCGCCAUGCAUGCUCGCGAGGGUGCUCCGGUCAUCCUCAGGUCGAUCCAAGGGCACCCCUCGGUGCGCCUCGCUGCGGGAGCACGCUGGUGCUUACCCCGUGGCCGAAGAUCUCGCCGUCGGCGAGAGCCGGCCGACCGAAGUCAGCCGGAGUGCUGCAUGGCUGACCCAUGGGGGCCACGACCCCUAGGUCCCGCCUGUCAGCACCUCUGCGGGUGUGGACCUGGGUAGAUCUAUCGUUUUCCGUUGGUUUUUCUUAAAUAAAGGUUUUUUAGAAUUUGUUUAAAUCUUGUAAAUUUCAUAACUUGAGUUCUACAGCUCCAAAAUUGGUGAAAUAAAUUUUGAUGAACUCUAUAAUUCCAGAUCUAUAGCUUGGUGUGGUUGCAUGCCAUGUUUGGACAACUUUUCUGUAUAUAUAUAUUUAAUCCAUGUUUUUGCUGAAUUUGGAAAAUACAUAGUAAUUAAAAUAUAGCUCAAAAAAAUAUGAAAAUUGUUUUGUUGGCUCUACAUGGGUGCUUAGGCUCUGGGAAAAUAUGUUACACAUUAUUUGCUGUAUGAAUUAUUUUAUGAUGAUUUAAAUGCUUGCAUGGCAGUGGUUUAUGAUUUUUAAUAAAUAAUUGGAUUAUGCAAUUAAUCUGGAAAUUUUUGUGGGUAUUUCUUAUGUUAACAAGUUAAUUAUAAAAAUGUGAAAUCUGCUGUUUGACACUUAUACCACAGUAGGGUAUUUAUACUUGAUUAUAUGGUUUGAUCUUGUGAUUUUUUGUAGCUCAAAAUAAAUGUCCAAAUAUUAUGAGAAAUUUAUGGUAGACUCUAUGGUUGACUAGUGAUCUGCUAUAAUUUAUGUGGAAUUUAUGGAUAAGCAGAAAUAUAUGCUAUUUUGUAGGCCUAAAAGUGGAUAAAUAAAUCAUGAAUUUGUUAUACAUAGAUUAAAUGAAGUAAAAUGAUGGUUGGUGUAUCUUGGAAGCAUCAUGUGAGUUUGCUGGUUAACCAUGAAUACAAUUUGUAGAAGAGGAUGCAAUAGAUGCUUAAUUCAAUUACAUGUUCUUGGAUGAUGUUGACUACCUUAUAGAAAUGACCACCUAUAUCAUCUAUGCACUAUGUCAUAGUCAUCUGUUACCCACUUGCAUAAGCAUUGCACCCCGGGCAUCUCGCACUCCACUCAUGAGCACACAUGCAUCAUACAGGCUCGCAGGAGAAUGAGGUGGGACCCGAGGAUCAAGAGGAGACCCAGGACCAGGAACCUCUGGGAGGACCGGAGCCCGGAGAAGAGCUGCAGGAGUGCCCGGAUCACAAGCCGAGCACGUUUGAGAAAGGCAAGCCCCGGAGCAUUCUAAGUCUCUCUAUUUCUCGCUAACAUAAAUGAUAUAUUAGGCUUGUUUUACUAUGUUGCAUUUAAGUGAUAGGAAUUGCUUGAUACCGUUGAUGCAUAUGUACUCCUUGAUAUCACCACUUGUUUACCUACCUUGUCCUUUGUAGAUAGGAACGGAAUCUACGCUUAGCUUGCUUAGUCCGGUAGAAGUUAGGUGAUUUCCUGUCACCUGCGAGAUAUAGGUGGAUACCUGCUUGAUUAGCGGUGAUUGCUUUGGGAAAGGGUAACCAAGUGUGGAAAGGAAUUUGAGACCGGGCAGAGUCUUACGGUGGGUUGAUCAUAGUGCCCCCACCUGUGUCGAUUAAGGACCGAUCGUUGAUGGCCCUCUUGUCAUGUUGAACGCAUGCCCCACACUUAGCUAGAAGGAUAAGUCGUUCCGACCGCGAAGCCUGAACACUAUCCGGGCCGGGAGUCAAGCCGCCAUGCGCUAUAUUGGUGAUGGUUGAGGAGAACGACGAGGGCGCGGCACGCAACCUUGGUAUACCUUGGAUACCUCGGUCGCCGGAACGGUCCUCGGGUACUGGCGGUGCCUGCCGAACCCGCAAAUUGGUCCUAGAUAGUGUAACACGGUGAUCUGUAGCUCACUUGAUCAGUGAGUGUGGUUUAUGUGGGGAAUAACUCGCCAGCUGGUUAGAAAUCGAUUCGAAUCGCCAUCGCUCCUGGAUAGUGAGCACUUGACAUGAGCUUCGUCCUCGUAGUAAGGACUAUGGAACACUUGGGUUAUAAAGAUAACUGAUUUAUGAAUGCUAUGAUGAGGUACCAUCAUAAUACUACCUUUGGUUACAAUAGUACAGGUGCAAACCUAGAAAAUAGGUAAUGAUAAUUGUUGACGGUCCUUAAGUACUAAAAUUAAUAAUCAAAUAAACAUGAAAAAGGAUCAAUAUGAAACAAAAAUCUAGAAUUAGGGUUUUAUCUAACAGAAUUCCACGAGUUUUGGUGUUUAUCUAUUUCUGCAGGGGUUUAUCAGAAAAUAUGGAGAGAAGGCCCACAUGUCAUGUUUACAACGAGAUAAUUACGUGCCGCGCAAUUUUCCUCAAUCUAGAAGGAUCCAGAAGCCACGGGAACGAACAGAACGCAAUUCGGGCUCGGGAGUUGGGCGGCCGCCCACCCCCCUUGGGCGCCCACCCUGGCCAAGAGUUGGAUCAGGACUCUCUCUCAGGACAACUCUCCACCGACCUAAAGGAUCAAUCUAAACCAUACAAUCUAUGUCGGUUUGAUCCAAUGGCUCACGUUCACUUGAGGGGACUAUAAAACCAGACCCCCUGGCCCCUGGAGGAAGAGAGGAGAAAUCAUUAUUCAGAGGUAGCCAUCAAAGUUAGGAUUUAGAUCUCUCUCCCACAGAGAAUUAGAAUUAGCUACUCCCUAAUCCUUCAAGUUUAGAGGUUGAUUAGAUAGCAAUUAGAGAAGUAGAGCACUACGCUCUGGAUUCGGAUCUUCGGUAAUAAAGAUUUGUAUUAUUCAUAUCUUUCUCUAAUUCUAUUGUUCUAAUUGCAUUAUGUCUCUAAUUAUUAUGUUCUUAGUUUGCUCUAGUUCUAUAUUUGAUAUAGUUCUAAUUGAUAAUGAGUUUAUGUAUAAGUUUGCAAAGCGCUUAGCUCUUGACGCGAGGGAGUUAGGUGAUAGAUCACAUGUGAGCGUGGUGCUUAGAUGUUAUUUAUCUGCAAAUGUAUCCUAUUGGCCGAGUCGUGUGGUAGUUCGUGAUAGUGACAGCUUCGUUGAUUCUUAUAUAGUCCACCCUCCAUUGAUAGGACAGGCAGAACCGGUAUUGUGGAGUAAGUCAUGCGAUGUUCUGAUUUACUUUAUCAAUGUUCCUUAUACAUGAAUGAAGAGUCUUUUAUGCUAUAUAUGAUCUUGUAGAUAACUAGAGUAGAUUAUAACUUAGUAGUUAGUAGAUAACUUAGAAUCCAUUCUCUAGCUAAUCCGACAUCACCUACAUAUAUGAGGAGUAGUCUAUUUUCUAAUCGCUGUGUUAUCUACCCAUGAACUUAUACUUUAUUAUCAUUAUCUUUAUGGUUUACCCCCUGCUAAAGUAAGUGACUGUGUGACGAGUUUCUCAUUAGUAAUCAUGUUCUUGCAAGUUUAUCUCUAGUCUAUGCCUUGAUAGAUUUUGCCCCUUUGAUUUAAUUCCAUCUUCUUUAGAUCCCUAGAGCAAAAUUAUAAAUAACGAUACCUGGAAUACUUAUCCUGGUGAAAUGCUACAAUGAGGUGUUUUAUCUGUGCGCUUGCGGAUAGAAUAGAUUAUUUUCUAAAGAGCCUUUACAUUUAUAAAUACCUUUGUACACUCUGGCGCCAUGCUAGGGAUGACAACCUAGUAUCUAAGUGGUGUUAGCUAGUGUCAACAAGCAUUUCUGGCGCCGUUGCCGGGGAGGUAUACGAGUCUCCGGAAUAAGUCAUUAAAGGGAACAAAAGGGUAAUAUUAAGGAAAGUCAGAAAAUCAAUCAAGGUUAUUCAUAUAAAAUAUUAGACUAGACUAUAGAGAAAUAAUUGCAUAAAACAGCUACUAAGUGAGAAAUCAUAACAAGGCACCGCUGCUUUGGCAGGUUCACCCUGUUGUUUUUCUAUGUUUAUAUUUUUAUACAGGGUAUAACAGGAUUGACUUUGGGUACAUUCAACUCUUCAUCAUCAGAACCAAAGCAAUCAAGAGAAGAAGAAGCUAGCUACCAAUUGCUGAAGCUAUGGCACAAAAGACCUUGCAAGAAUUCUCUGCUCCAAGCCUUGAGAACAUUCUAACUGGUCCAAGAUUUGCAGUAGAAGAAGGAAUACCUGAGUUUGAGCUCAAGUCAAGCCUCAUCAAUUUGGUACAAGCUACACAAUUCAGUGGAAAGGCACAUGAAGAUGCCAGUGCACACUUGCAGAAUUUCUUAGAGAUUGGAAGCACAAUCCACAUCAACGGAGUUGACAAAGACGUCAUACUGCUUCGCCUUUUUCCAUUCUCACUAGAAGGAAAAGCGAGGAAGUGGUUCUACACUCAUCAAGAUAACAUCAACAACUGGACGAACUUGUCAGAUGCGUUUCUAUCAAAGUUUUUUCCUAUAGGCAAAACAACUGCCUUAGGAGGAAAUAUUGUCAGUUUCCAACAGCAGAAGACAGAAGCCAUUUCAGAAGCAUGGGAGCAUUUUCAAGGAUACAUAUCAGAUUGUCCUCACCAUGGAAUGGCCACAUGGUUACUUAUGCAGACCUUCUACCAUGGAUUAACCCAGAAGGCUCGUGAGUGCCUAGAUGCAUCUGCUAAAGGAUCAUUCUUGGAGCUUACAACUGGAAAAGCAGAAAUACUUUUGGAUAAGAUAGCAGAAAACCAAAGCUGGUUCCAAGAUAAAGCUCAACAUUGUCAUCAAACUGAAGAAAUACCAGAAGAAGUAAAUGCAUUAUCAACUAAGAUGGAAAAUUUGCUCCAUUGGAUUGACCAGAGGGCCAAGUUCAAAGAAGAUCAAAGGGCCAUUGAGACAGCAUACAAAUAUCAACCAACUUCGAGUCAACCCAAUAGCAAAGGUAUGAAUUCAGGUAAUACUGUCAAGCAACUUUCAUUAAAAGAGAUAAUUGCUCAACAAACCAAAAUUAAUGAUGAAGUUAAACAAAGGCUAGAUACAAAUGAAUCAUCUCUAAAAGAUAUAUAUAAUAAAAUGGAUUUUCUACUAACUGCCUUUGAUGAGCAAAACACUCUUAAUAAAAGGGUAGAGCUUAAAUUAAUAAAAUUAUCUGCUGCACUGCCUGUUGCUACUAACAUUGAGCAGGUAAAGAAUAUAACUACUAGAGGAGGCAAAGCUACCAGAGAUCCACCAUACCCAAAAGAGAAACAAAGAACAUCAGCACCAGUGCAACCAGCAGUGAUAGAAGAAGAAAGCCCAGUUGAAGCAGAAGAUCUGCUACAACCACCAAGAACUGGAGAAAUGAGGAAAGAUUUUUACGACACCAACUAUUUGCCAUUUCCCAGAAGAAACAGAGGACUGCAGUCGGAUGAGCAGUUUGGUAAGUUUGUAGAGGUCAUUCAGAAAUUAUAUGUCAACAUACCUCUACUUGAUGCCAUACAGGUACCUACAUAUGCAAAGUACAUCAGAGAAAUUCUUAACAAGAAGAGACCACUGCCCACCACUGAGGUUAUCAAGCUGACAGAAGAAUGUAGUGCGGCCAUCCUCAACAAACCACCAAAGAAGAAGGAAGAUCCAGGAUGCCCCACUAUUGACUGCUCGAUCGGAAACCAAAACUUCAACAAUGCACUUUGUGAUCUCGGAGCAAGUGUCAGUGUGAUGCCAGCAUCAGUCUACAAAAAGCUUGAGCAUGCAACCUUAGAACCAACAUCAAUGUGCCUACAACUAGCGGAUCAAUCGGUUCGACACCCGUUGGGCAUCGCCGAGAACGUUCCAGUCAAGAUCAGAGAUUUCCUGGUGCCAGUAGAUUUCGUAGUACUGGACAUGAGUCCUGACUCGAAAGUAUCCAUCAUCCUUGGAAGGCCAUUUCUGAGCACUACCAAUGCCCACAUUGAUGUUGGGAAGGGAGAAAUCAAGUUCAACAUAAACGGUCAAGAAGAACACUUCACAUUCAAACCCAGACCAGAGAGAGACUCUAUAGUGAAGGAAGUUCAUGAAGAACCACUAGAGACACCAUCUCCGGAGGAAGAAAACUCAGAAGAUUAAAAGAAUUGGAGGUCCAGCUUGGGGGACCUAAAAAUCCCAAACCCUCACCGGGAGGUAAAUCGGUAUUUAUCCGCAUUAUUAAUUUUCUCAUAUUUAAAUUCUUGCAUAAUUAAUUCUUGCAUUAGUCAUAGCAUAAUUAUAAUAAUAAAAAAGCCCCAGAUAAAUAAUAUUCGUGGUGUGUAACAACCCAUAUUUAUUAAUUAUCGUGGAGGCACAAAAAUAUUUUCCAUUAUCAUUUUAAUUAAUUUUCAAUUCUCAUAGAUUUUCCUGCAUUAUAUUUAAUCAUAUUAAUCUUCUAGAAGCAUGACCCACACUCUUUGGGUCCCACAUGUCAUACACUUCACCUCACAUACAUCCCAUCACAUAAUUUCAUCCACCAAUAUGUUUCCACUCACUUGACAUCUUUCCACCGUCCAACCACCACCAACACAAUAUUAUUCUGCGUGAGAUCAAAGCAAGGAAGCAAGUGGAGGAGGCACACCCAGGAUGGACACCACAAGUGGGUGCCCGCCCACCUACCUUGGGCGCCUGCCCUGUUCCCUGCUCAGCUUAUAAAAGGCCACCUCCAACUCCCCUUCUCUUCACACAAACACUUCAGAAAACCACACAAAUCUCAGUUUCCCGAGAAGGAGUUCUUGUAGUGAAGAGAAGAGAGUAGAGAGAAAGAGGAGAGUGGAAGGGAAGGUUGGAGUUCUUUUGAGAAAGUGAUUGUCACCUAGCAAAUAGUGAUCCCGCUGUCCAAGCGGAAGUAAAAGUUGUUUAGGGGGAGGCUCUACCAAAAUAGAAACUUGUCUUGAACGAUUAACCCCUGGACUACUGACACUCCGGACAACUAACCACUAACAUUUUAUCUCACAUUUUCCACUAGUUGUGUUUUUGCCAACUUUUGUUUGCAGGAUGUUUAAGAAGGUGAAGAAUGCAGGGAAGGCUCUUAAGAACAUUGGUACAAGGAGUUCAACCCGACACUCCUCACAGCCAUCAGAGAUGAGCGUCGAUCCGACACCCACACAAGCUCCAUCAUCUUCAUCAGGUCAACAAGUUAAGGUUCUUCUCAAGAUAGGAGACCUUGGACUGAAGACCCGAAGAGAGAAGGAAGUUUAUCAGCAAUUGAAGAACAAGGAUUUCAUUCACACCCCUACUAUCGAUCCAAUCCUACUACGAGAAACAGGUAUGGACACUGAAUUUGACUUAAUUUUUCAGAUGAUGGGUUGGACAAAUUUUUGGAAUAUAACUGAGCUGGGUUCUCGUCUUCUCACCCUCGAAUUUCUUUGCACUUUACAAUACUAUGAGGGGGGAAUUGUUUUUUGGACGUUCAAACAGGAAAUUAUGUUAUCUUGGAGAGAGCUGAGCGACCAUCUUGGUUUCUCUUCAAGAUGCAUCCUGAACAUUGACUCCGAUUUACCCAACUUUGAGAGACACCAGUUUUGGAGAGAAAUAUCUAGAGAUAAUUAGCCCGAACUAGUGACAUGGAACACCCCACUCUCAGGAUGUUUCACAAAUGGCUUGGGUACAAUCUUUUCUAUCGCGAUGAUAUUAGGAAAGUAAGAGUAGGAGAUUUACAACUUUUAUAUGCUGCUAUUAGUAAAGUACCUACUUCACCUGUUACACUAUUAGUUUCACAUUGGCUUAGUAUACCUAGUCUUCAGGGACCAGUAGGAUGUACUUCACUUAUCACUCGUCUAGCCACUAAUCUUCACUUACUAGAAAACUCGUCAUUGGACUUCAUAGAAGAAUUAAGAAUUUAUCAUGGCUAUGACACAUUUAGACAAGCUCGGAUGUUAAAGAAAGAGGGAAAUAUAAUGUAUAUGCUAUAUGAUGAUAAAGGCAAGAUUCGGUUACCUAACCCGAACCUUGGCCUCUACGCUGUGCAAAACUUUUUGAUUGAGAUUGCAUCAACACCAGUGAACCAGAGAACUCCACAGCGAGUGGCAUCUGAAAGGAUAACCACUCACCGAGAACGCACUUGGUAUGGAGCUGAUCCUGGACCAGAAGAAGCAGCGCACCUGCAUUAUUGCGAUUACAAUCCACGAGUCCUUCGAGACCCAUGGGAUCGUCAUGCACAACCACAACAGCCAACAGAGGAGACAUGGCCGGAGAGCAAAGAUCACCAGUGGACAAACCCGCCUUUUCAUACGGGCAGGUACUCCACUGAUCCAUAUGGAGCUUCAGGAUCCAGACCUCCGCCCUAAUUUGAUGCAGGACGAUACUCCGACGCCUCCUACGCCUUCACGAAUGACUACUAUCAAGAGGCCGGUGCUUUCUUCACUCGUACCGACAACACCCUCCUCGACAUUCAGAACACGCAAGCAGAACAUGGAAGACUCCUGGAAGAGCAACAAAAAUGGAACCAGAACCAUGCCGCAGCAGUAGAAGAGCUGAGACAAGAUACAACAACAAUGAACGACAACAUCACAACCAUGAUGCGGUUCUGGAACAUCGGGUAAGACCGACGUCAACAUCCAGCUUGGGGGAGUUCCUCCUCAAUUUAUCAAGUAUUUGCUCUUCUUAUUUAUUCUAUUCUGUCUUAGUAUUUAAUUUAUCUUAAAAGGAAAAACUUAGAAAACCAAAUAAAUAUUUUCUUGCUUUAAUUCACUGCACUUUAAUAAACAUGAAAACAAAAUAAAAAGAGUGUGUAGAUAAGUGUGCUUUAUUUUCCUGCUAAGUUUAAUCUCUAAAAAAAAUAAAAAAAAUAAAGACCAAAAAUAUGCAUGAUGGAAAUGAUGAACAGUUGCUCUGUUUGCUUACUUACAAGUACCUAGCUUUUAUAUUAGAAUUCUUCCAGGAAUUACUAAAACUAAAAUCACUAUCUUUGGGAAGCAUAAAACUAAAGUCUAGGUAAGAGAAAGGCAUGAUAUAAAGUUGAGCUGCUGUUUAUCUUGUUCCUACUACACUAAAUUCUGGAGAUUUAUUUUUGAAAACUUGCAAAUCACAUGAUGAGUUCCUAGCAUAACAAACUACCUACCAUAGCCAUACUUGCUAUAACAUCUUUUACUAUAUUUACAUUGAGUUUGAUCGAGCUGUGUUGACCCUUAGGAGCUUUUCAUGUGGUUAAAUUAAGAUAUUCACUUGCACACAUCUACUACACCAUUCAUCAUCAUUCAAAUUGCUAAAAAUAUUAUCACUCACUGUCCCGCGUAUUGUUAUUUUCUCUCUCUAAAAAGAUUCAAUGCAGAAGAGGCAUGGGUUAUGCAAAAAUAUAUACGAGGAAAUAAAAAGGGGCAAGUGCCCGGGAACCUCGAAAAAGAAAGAAAAAGAGUGAGACGAGAGGUAAAAAUGGACAAGUGUCCGAAGUAGAAUUAGGGGUACAAAGAUGCCCACUUGAGCGGAAAAAAUGGACAAGUGUCCGACAGUAGAAUUAGGGGUAUCUACUACCCACCUGAAAAAAAAAGAAAAGAGAAAAAAAAGAAAAGAUAGCCCAUGUUCUCCCAAAGCAAAGAUCAAAAAGAAAGAAGAGAGAUAGCAAUAUGAGGAGCAAUGAGAACCAAAUUUUAUUAUCACUUAUGCAUUUCCACCAUCAUUAACAUUUACUCCACCACACAUGCACAUCUUGAUUUAAUUAUAUGCUGAGUUUCUUUGGAUCCAUGGCUCGAUUAGACAACAUAUGUAUGAGCUGUUUGUUUUUUUUCACUCCUAUGAGCUCCACUUAAAUAUUUCAUUAGCUAUAGGUAAGUGACAUUAUGGUAAGGAUCCACAAAUACCACAUAUAGAGAGACUUGAGAGAAUCAUUGCUGGGAACUCUGAGUUUUAUUUUGAAAACUUAUGAAAAACUCUGGAACAAAAGUGAAGUAUAGACAAGAGGGAUAGUGCUUGACUUAACUAUUUUGUCUUUCGAUUACUUAAGAUUUAAGUGCAGGUACUAAACUCCAUAACACUUCACUCGAAUCUGGAAGAAUUUUUAUGUAAAAGCAUGUGUGCCUGUCAGGAAAGAAAACAUCAAAGCAACUCCUGAUCCGUCUUAGUUUAGCUGUUUGCUCAGGGACGAGCAAAGGGUAAGCUUGGGGGAGUUUGUUGACGGUCCUUAAGUACUAAAAUUAAUAAUCAAAUAAACAUGAAAAAGGAUCAAUAUGAAACAAACAUCUAGAAUUAGGGUUUUAUCUGACAGAAUUCCACGAGUUUUGGUGUUUAUCUAUUUCUGUAGGGGUUUAUCAGAAAAUAUGGAGAGAAGGCCCACAUGUCAUGUUUACAACGAGAUAAUUACGUGCCGCGCAAUUUUCCUCAAUCUAGAAGGAUCCAGAAGCCACGGGAACGAACGGGACGCAAUUCGGGCUCGGGAGCUGGGCGGCCGCCCACCCCCCUUGGGCGCCCGCUCUGGCCAGGAGUUGGAUCAGGACUCUCUCUCGGGACAACUCUCCACCGACCUAAAGGAUCAAUCUAAACCAUACAAUCUAUGUCGGUUUGAUCCAAUGGCUCACGUUCACUUGAGGGGACUAUAAAACCAGACCCCCUGGCCCCUGGAGGAAGAGAGGAGAAAUCAUUAUUCAGAGGUAGCCAUCAAAGUUAGGGUUUAGAUCUCUCUCCCACAGAGAAUUAGAAUUAGCUACUCCCUAAUCCUUCAAGUUUCGAGGUUGAUUAGAUAGCAAUUAGAGAAGUAGAGCACUACGCUCUGGAUUCGGAUCUUCGGUAAUAAAGAUUGGUAUUAUUCAUAUCUUUCUCUAAUUCUAUUGUUCUAAUUGCAUUAUGUCUCUAAUUAUUAUGUUCUUAGUUUGCUCUAGUUCUAUAUUUGAUAUAGUUCUAAUUGAUAAUGAGUUUAUGUAUAAGCUUGCAAAGCGCUUAGCUCUUGACGCGAGGGAGUUAGGUGAUAGAUCACAUGUGAGCGUGGUGCUUAGAUGUUAUUUAUCUGCAAAUGUAUCCUAUUGGCCGAGUCGUGUGGUAGUUCGCGAUAGUGACAGCUUCGUUGAUUCUUAUAUAGUCCACCCUCCGUUGAUAGGACAGGCAGAACCGGUAUUGUGGAGUAAGUCAUGCGAUGUUCUGAUUUACUUUAUCAAUGUUCCUUAUACAUGAAUGAAGAGUCUUUUAUGCUAUAUAUGAUCUUGUAGAUAACUAGAGUAGAUUAUAACUUAGUAGUUAGUAGGUAACUUAGAAUCCAUUCUCUAGCUAAUCCGACAUCACCUACAUAUAUGAGGAGUAGUCUAUUUUCUAAUCGCUGUGUUAUCUACCCAUGAACUUAUACUUUAUUAUCAUUAUCAUUAUGGUUUACCCCCUGCUAAAGUAAGUGACUGUGUGACGAGUUUCUCAUUAGUAAUCAUGUUCUUGCAAGUUUAUCUCUAGUCUAUGCCUUGAUAGAUUUUGCCCCUUUGACUUAAUUCCAUCUUCUUUAGAUCCCUAGAGCAAAAUUAUAAAUAACGAUACCUGUAAUACUUAUCCUGGUGAAAUGCUACAAUGAGGUGUUUUAUCUGUGCGCUUGCGGAUAGAAUAGAUUAUUUUCUAAAGAGCCUUUACAUUUAUAAAUACCUUUGUACACUCUAGCGCCAUGCUAGGGAUGACAACCUAGUAUCUAAGUGGUGUUAGCUAGUGUCAACAAUAAUAUCAAACUUGAGCUAAUUAAAAGAAGAAAGGUUUUCUUUAGGCUAUGAUUAGUGGAACAAUGCUUUUAUGCAAAAAAAGUCUUAGCUACUCCCUCAUACAGCCUUCAUGAUCCUUGAGGAGUCUUUAUUUUUGGUUUAUGACGGGUAAGUCUAGCUGAGUACAUUCUCGUACUCAGGGUUUUAUUCCCAUGUUGUUUUGUAGAUGGUCAAAUGUAUUAUGGAUAUUGCAUCCUCUGCUUGUACCCAGCAGUGGGCGAGGACUAGACCAAGGGCGAUGGUCACUCUAACUUCUCUUGUGCUUUUGUGGGAAUGACCGAACUAUGGCACUGUAUCAAACUAAAUGUGUGUGUGUGUUACUUUCAAACUAUGAAGCUUCCGCUACUUGAGAAUUUGGUUUGUAAUAAUUUUUAAGUACUCCGAUGUGUUCGUUAAAUGAUAUGAACUGGAUGUAAUUGUGAAUGGUGACUGCUAAACUUAUUACGAUCUUGGCUGUAUGUGCGAUAUGUGGUUUGAAAUCCUUCGAGAUUUCACGAACUACUGGAAUUAUAUGGGCUUAUGCUUGAUGGUUUGACUGUGCAAAUGGUCACUAUUAGGCUUAAUCUCUUAUAAUUUGGAUGGUUCUGUUACAGCUGGUAUCGGAGCAAGGUUUAGCGAGUUACUAUGCAUUAGUACGUUCUAACUAAACUUAAACCGGUUUAAUAAAAGAUUAUUAUAAUUAAUGAUAAUCAAGGUGUCAAACUAAGUUUUUGGAAAACUAUCUGGUGUGCCAUUUGCAUAUCCUUUAUGCCCAGUUAAGGACUCUAAGGUGGCUAGUUAAGUACUGACUUGGGGGUUAAUGCAUCAUAUUUCUAUUUCAUCUCAUACGGCGUGCAAUGGUAUGAGUACCAUUCAUUUGAGUGGUAAUGUAUGGAUCAAUUCUUCCUCUACGCCUCGGUAAUUGGGAGCUGUGAGAGCAUGAUCGGAUACACUGCCGAUCUAGGGAAGUGUUGUUAAGGUGCUGUGUCAUGCACACAUGUUUGGUGUGCCUGGGAACAAUACCGCAUGUUGGGAGAUUCUGUCCUAAGAGGCGAUGCCGUCACUAGGGCGAUGAUGUGGGUAGUAACACGUCAUAUGCAUGGACGGGGUGUCUAUGUAUGUGGGGUGUAUAGUUUUAAAUUCUUGUUCUGCACUAACCACGUUCCCGCCUAGAACGCUAGUUACGUAUGAGAGAACGUUGUGUGCCACCGCAUAUACUGAUUAGUGUCAACUUUAUUUCUAAGUUUGUGAGAUCGUAAGUCUGUGCAUGCAUCAUGUUCAUUUCAUAUCAUUGCUUACUUCCCUCCCUUAAAGUAAAUUUGUCCCAAUUUUAAUUAAGUUAAUAAAAGGUACUCCUCAAUCUUACCCAAGGUAUUCCAUUUUCAGCAGAUGGCGCGCACUAGGCUCACCGCUCGCAAGUCCACUAGUGGGCGGGCCCCUCGCCAUCAGUUGGCAGCCAGGAGCUCGCGUCAUAAGAGCAAGUUCUUGGAGGAGUUUGGGAUGCCCACCUUGCUAUGGAGGGUGCUCAGUUCGUUGGGGUAUCUCGAAGGAAGGGAACCUCGUUACUAUUGGAACAAGGAGCAGCUUGGUGACGGGACCCUGGUUGGGUGUAUGAUUCCCAAGGUACCACGCCUUUCCACGGUGCCAGCAGAGCAGCUUUCGCAGUUCUGAGGGACCUCAUGGAGAGGUUUCCACAGGAGCUGGCCCACGCCUUCGCUGGGUGUUUCCCCGGGGUGACCCCUACACUUUGGUGUGGGAUCAGUCCGAGGUGAAUGUUGACGGUCCUUAAGUAUCAAAUUUAAUUAUUAAAUAAAUAAAGAAAAGGAUCCAAAUGAAAUUAAGAUCUAGACUUAGGGUUUUAUCUGACAGAAUUCCACGAGUUUUGGUGUUUGUCUAUUUCUGCAGGGGGUUAUCAGGAAAUACGGAAGAAAGGCCCACAUGUCGGGAUUACGUAAAGAUAUUAACGUGCUGCGCAAUUAUCUUACAUCUAGAAGACUCCAGAAGCCACGAGGCCGAAGCAGAGGCGAAACGGGGCUAGACCCUGGGCGGCCGCCCAGUUGGUCAGGGCACCCGCCCACCUCCUGAGUCCAAUCAGGACUCUGCUUUGCGGGAGAUCUCCACCGACCUAAAGGAUGAAUCUAAACCAUACAAUCUAUGUCGGUUUGAUCCAAGGGCCCAUAUUCACUUGAAGGGACUAUAAAACCAGACCCCCUUGCCCCUGGAGGAGAGAGCCUCUCAACCCUAAUUCAUUGUUCCAUCAAGGGAGAAGAAGCCUCUGAUCAAGAUUAGAGCCACCACAUCAAUUAGAUAUCUAGAUUAGCAUAGCUACAUAGGAUUAGAACUAGAAGGAGUCAAUCUUCGAUUGGUUUCCGGAUCUGUCAAGAGGAUUCUUGGUAAUUCUCUAAUUGUGCUUCUAAUUGCUUUCUAAUUAUCUCUGUUCUUCAAUAUUAUGAAUAUGACUUUGUUCUACUUCAAUAUAUUGCUUAUGACUUUGCUCUACUUGCUUAUAUUCAAGAUUAUAUUGUUCUUAGUUUAUCAUAGUUAUGUACUUGGCUUAGUUAGAUUGGAUCUAUAUACAUGCUUAGGAUCGUAUAGCGUUUAUCCAUCGGAUCCAUGGGUAAAUGAUAGAUAUUGUGUAGGCGUGGUGCUUAUACCGUAUUUAUCUGCGAUUGUACCCAAUAUGCCAGAUCAUGGGGUGGUUCGUGAUAGUGACAGCUUCAUUGAUUCUUAUAUAGUCCCCCUCUCGUGUAUUGGGCUGGCAGAGCAACAUUAUUACAGGGGAGUGAUUGCUAUGUUUCUCAUAUUCCUUGCUAAUAUCACUAUGCAUGGGCGUAGUCUUGUCUCGCAAUGAUUGCUAAGUAUGCUUGCACUAACUAUGAUAUGCUAGACUAUAUAGUUGAGAAUAACUUAGGGAAUAUUCUUGUAGUUCGUUCUAAUACCAUGCUAAUGACUUUCUAGAGUAUCUAAUUGAGGUGCUUAUCAUAUUUAUUAUGUGGCUAGAUCAGAUUAGUUAUCUUUGUCACUAUUAUUAUUUCAUAUAUCUUUUAUGUGACACUUAUCCCUGUAUGAAGAGUUAGAUAUAAUGUUCUCAAUUAUACAUGCAAUGAUAGAUGCUCAAUCUCAUAUUAUAUUCUGUAAUCAUUAGUAAUGAUUGCUAAUCCCUUCCCAGUGGUAAAAAUAUAAAUAACGAUACCUGGAAUACUUCCCGGUUAAAAUGCUACAUCGUUAUUAAUCUGUGCGCUUGCAGAUCCAAUUCAUUAUUUAUUUAGAAGAGCAAUUGCAUAUUUCAACACCGCGUCUCUUAUAUCAUGCUGGGGAUGACAACUUGGCUUAAGUGGUGUGAGGGAUAGGUUUGGCAUUUUUGGCACCGUUGCUAGAUUUAGAACUUAGUCUACUUUUAGUAAUGAUGUUAAGAAUACCCAACAAGCAUUUUUGGCGCCGUUGCCGGGGAAGGUUGAUUACUAAUCAGGAAUGGAAUAAAAAGAUUUUGAGUUAUCAUUCGCAUCACUAAUAUGAUUGAGCUUAUCUAUUCUAUCAUACAGUUUUACCCCGAUAUUUUUCUAUUUUAUCUUAUGCAGGGGAAUGUAUGAAUAGAAGACAUCUUCCAGGAAAUUUUGUUGACAAUCCUGAAGCAUUAUUCAAGAAGAUGAGAGCCAAGCUAAAGAAAUCAUCAACACUUCACGAAGAAGCUUCAUCCAAUCAAGAAGAUCACCGGAACUUGUCUUCAGAGUUCGAAGCCAUGGCGAACAAAUCAAUCCGUGAGUUCUCAGCUCCCACUACGGACAACAUCCGCACUGGACCUGCUGCAGAGAUCGAUGGUAACUUUGAGCUCAAGCCUGGACUUAUCAACAUGGUGCAAUCCAACCAGUUCUGUGGGAAGGCACACGAAGAUGCUAGUGCUCAUUUACAACACUUCCUAGAGAUUUGCAACACAUUCACCAUAGCAGGAGUUUCCAAAGACGCUAUACUACUUCGCCUCUUCCCAUUCUCACUGUUAGGAAGAGCGAAGCAGUGGUUCUACGCUACAAAGCAGAAGAAUACUACGUGGGCACUCUGCUCAACAAACUUCCUGGCUAAGUUCUUUCCCAUGGGCAAGACCAAUGCUCUCCGUGGGAAGAUUACAAGUUUUCAGCAACAAAAUGAUGAAUCUGUUUCAGAAGCAUGGGAGCGCUUUCAAGACUACAUCCUAGAAUGUCCCCAUCAUGGAAUGGAGAGUUGGCUACUGAUGCAGACAUUCUAUCAUGGGCUCAGCAACAGUGCCCGAGAGACCAUGGAUGCUGCAGCUGGAGGAGCAUUCUUAUCACUUACUAUACCACAAGCCACAGCUCUUGUGGAGAAGAUGGCGUCCAACCAAAGCUGGAAUGAAGAGAGGACCCAGACACGCAAGAGAGGUGGAGGUAUGCAUCAGCUGAAGGAGGUAGACAUGCUGUCUGCAAAGCUAGACCUGCUCAUAAAGAAGCUCGACGAUAGAGCUGGAGACAAGAAAGAAGAUAUGCACAUCUACGACUCUCACAUGACUUGUGAGGAGUGUGGAGACACUGGACACUCAGGCAACCACUGCCCUGAGAUGCUUGAGGAUGUGAACUACAUCAACAACAACAACAACUACUACUACAACCGUCCUCAACAAAAUCAAGGUUGGAAUCAACAGAGGCCUAACUACUCAGGUAAUUAUCAAGGUAACAAUUCUUACAACAAUAAUAAUAAUUUUCCACCUUUGAGAGAGUUAGUGUCUAAUCAAGGAAAGCUAAUGGAUAAUCUAUCUAAGAAAUUGGCGUCUAAUGAUAAAAUGCUAGAAAAUAUAAAUAAUAGAAUGGAUAAUGUCUCUACUGCCAUCAAGAAUCAAAUUAGCUUUAAUAAAAUGAUUGAAUCCCAGUUAAAUCAAAUAGCUGCUGCUGUUCCUACUACUAACCCCGGUAUACCAUCACAACCGGAAGGAUUAGAAUCUGCAAAUCUUAUAGACGUGUUUGAUGCAGGUAAUUGGAGUAACCCCGUCACUGAAUUUUGUACUGACCGUCUGCCGGUCAAGAGAGGCGAUCCAGGACGCCCCGUCAUCCCGAUCUCCAUCGGCAUGGUGGACGUUCCAGAAGCACACUGUGACUUUGGCUCUAGCGUCAACAUUAUACCCAGGGUACUCUAUGAGAAAUUCUUUACAUAUCCUUUAUUAGAGACAACCAUGUGUUUGCAGUUUGCAGAUCAGACGAUAACUUUUCCAAAAGGAAUAGUGAGGAACCUUUGUGUCCGAGUUGGUACCUUGUAUGCCCCAGCAGACUUCGUAGUGGUAGAGACCGGAAAUGAUGAGAGAGCACCUAUCAUCCUAGGAAGGCCAUUUUUGAACACCACGGGAGCUAUCAUCUACGCCAGUGCUGCCAAGAUCAGUUUCUACGUCAAAGGGAAGAAGGAUACAUUUUUCUUCAAGAACAAGACUACACAAAUUCCAGAUCAAUCCAGACGUGAAUCAAGGAAGAGGACCAACAGGAGAAACAGGAACAAGCAAGUGUGGACCGAGUCAGCUAAGAUGGUCACUGUAGUCCAUGGAGGCCAAGAUCACCAACUUAAGUCACCGUUUUUGACCAAGAAGGACGACCCAGGAAUGCCAAGCAUUUACUGCUCCAUAAAUGGAUACAACUUCUACAAGACGAUUUUCGACACCGGAUCGGGCGUCAACAUAAUGGCCGCAAUCACCUAUCGGCUCUUGUUCGGGACCAUGCCACUAAGACCAACAUACAUUCAGCUCCAGAUGGCAGAUCAGACAUUUUGAGAAGUUCAAGGAAUAGUAUCUGAUGUCCCAGUCAAAAUAGACGAUCACUUUGUCUACACAGACUUUCAAGUUGUUGACAUGGGAGAAGAAGAGUACGAUCCACCCAUCAUCCUUGGAAGACCGUUCCUCAGCACCGUUAAAGCAAUUAUCUACAUUGGAACCGGAGAAGUCCAUAUGCACUUCCCCUCAGAGAAGGUACGCCGUUUUUUACUGACCCUAACUAUAUCAUUGAAGAAUCUAAGCAGGUCAGAAAGAGACGCAACCGCAACCAGAGAAGGCAGAUCAUCAAGGACGGAUGGGCAGACUAUGAAGGAGAAGUUGUAAGGUCAGAAGACUUGGAGUUUAAACAGAAUUAUCCAGAGGAGAUUGAAGCACCGAGUUAGGUAUGGAAAAUGAAGAUAACUAUACAAGAAGAGGAGGCACUGCCGGAAGUACCGACUACGCCACCCAACGAACCUCAGGACGAUUAAGAAAUUGGAGAGUCCCGUUCGGAGGACUUAAAAAUACCGAACGCCUUGCCAAGAGGUAAACUUGGUAGUUAUCCUUUCCAUUACAAUUAUUUCAAAUUAUUUCAACUAGUUUACUAAGUAAUCAUGUUCAUGCUAUCUUAAAAAGAAAAUAAAAAUAUGAAAAACACUAAGCUCCAUGUGAGUAUACGAGUGGCAUAAAACCCAUUAGUACAUUCACUGUGGUGGCAUAAAAAUAAAAAUAAAUAUUUUUCUGCUUUAUAAAACAAAAAUAUAAAAACAGGGAGUAACAAUUAUUAAGGAGUCUCAAGAUAAUAAAGGCUAGAUAUUUAUGCUAACACUUAAUCAGUUCCACAAGCUUUGUUGUCUAUUUGAGCUCCACAGAAUUUAAGAAGACUAGCAGACGGAGGACAUUCUAAUCGCUGUCAGAAUGCUGCUGACUUUCAAAUACACCUCUGCCACCUGCUAGCUACAUUAAGAGAAAUUACGUCAAAAUUCAGCUUGGGGGAGAGCACCCCCAUUUACAUCGAUAAGUAUUUCUAUCUAUCUUUAUACUUAUAUUAUUUUAGAAUAUUAAAAUACAUAUAAACUAUGGGAAAACCAAAUAAAGAUUUUAUGCUUAUAUAUGUCUUUUGCUUAGUGUGUUUAAUAAAUAAAUAAAGUGGCUAUUUUAAUCUGUAUCUAAACAAAAACUUAAGCAUGGAUAUGAUAAAUAGUUGCUCUGUCUAAUUUGCAAAUUUUAAGUUCUCUCUCAAGUUUAGAUAUAACUGUUAUAAUUUAAAGCUUGCCCUAGACCUAAACUUGUGGGAUGAAAACUUGAUCUGAAGUCUAAGUUGUUAACGGAUACGAUAUAGGAAGGUUGAGCUGCUGUUUAUCUGUUCCUAGAGAUUCUAGAAUUCUGGAGAAUUUUAUCUUUGAAAAUCUUUAAAAUGUUGCAUGAUGAGUUCCUGUAUGAUGAGAGCUUAAAUUCCUACCACAGCCAUAUAUACAUGCUUGCUAGACUUUGAGCCACACAUUUAUUAUUUACUGCUUAUGAGCAUUGAGUGUGGUCAAGCUGUGUAGACCCUUAGGAGCUUGUCAUGUGGUUAAAUCAAGAUUUCACUGGCACGUUCACUCAUAUAUGCUACUUCUACUCCGGAAGUACCAUCCACAUAUAUCCAUCCAUUUCCAUCUCCAGAAUCACCCAAAAAUAUUCUGCUCCUAAUCCGGGAGAGAAUAACCAAAAAUAUUUUUGUUUCCCCUUGUGAAAUAAAUGCUCAAGUUAUCUUGUUACUACCACUUGCUAUAUUAUCUCAAGAGAUGAGUGCUCUAAAAAAAGAAGAAAAUAAAAAAAUAAUACGAGGAAAUAAAAAGUUGCAAGUGCUCGGAACCUCGAAAGAAAAGAAAGAGUGAGACGAGAGGUAAAAAUGGACAAGUGACCGACAGUAGAAUUAGGGGUGCAAGAUACCCACCUGAGAGACAAGAAAAAGAAGAGCAUCUCAUUCUCCUCAUAAAGUUUCAAAAGCAAGGAAGGUAUGUAUCCCCUCAAAAGAGCAAAGUAGAAUUAGACUUCCACCACCAUUGUUUUCACCAUUGUUAUCACCAUCAUCACCAUACACCAUUCAUUCGCCACACAUGCACAUCUUGAUUUGGCUUAUUGAUUUGUUUCUUUGGAUCCAUGGUUUGACUAUGCAAUAAAUGUCUUGUGAGUAUGUAUACUUUAUCUCCCACCUAUGAGCUCCAAAUAUUAAAGCCUUAUUAGAGUAGGGUGAGAGAGAAGGAAAUGUCACUAUGCCUUAUACCACAAAUACUACAUAUCUUGAGAGAAGGCAUAUACCAUUAAUGCCUUGGUAAGGAUCUAAAAAUACCACAAAAGAGAGAUCUGAGAGAAUCAUACAAGGAAUCUCUGAGUUUUAUUUGAAAAUCUGCAAAAACCCCAGAGCUAUAGCUGAUCAAGAAUAAGAGACAUGGCACUUGGCUAGAGUGUUCUAUCUUUUAACCACUCAAGACAGAAGUGACAGUUACAAGUCCCAUGGUGGAGGUAAAGUAAGUAAGUUUUAAGUCUUGAUAGUUUACUCUAACUCAGAGAUGAGAUCUUAUUUAAAAGCAUGUGUACCGUCUAUUUUUUUAAAAAUAUUGCAACAACUUAUGAUCCAUAGGUGAGUCUAUCCUUGCUCAGGAACGAGCAAGAGGUAAGCUUGGGGGAGUUUGUUGACGGUCCUUAAGUAUCAAAUUUAAUUAUCAAAUAAAAAAAGAAAAGGAUCCAAAUGAAAUUAAGAUCUAGACUUAGGGUUUUAUCUGACAGAAUUCCACGAGUUUUGGUGUUUGUCUAUUUCUGCAGGGGGUUAUCAGGAAAUACGGAAGAAAGGCCCACAUGUCGUGAUUACGUAAAGAUAUUAACGUGCUGCGCAAUUAUCUUACAUCUAGAAGACUCCAGAAGCCACGAGACCGAAGUGGAGGCGAAACGGGGCCAGACCCUGGGCGGCCGCCCAGUUGGUCAGGGCGCCCGCCCACCUCCUGAGUCCAAUCAGGACUCUGCUUUGCGGGAGAUCUCCACCGACCUAAAGGAUGAAUCUAAACCAUACAAUCUAUGUCGGUUUGAUCCAAGGGCCCAUAUUCACUUGAAGGGACUAUAAAACCAGACCCCCUG
rnacentral:lncRNA from 1 species